rnacentral:rRNA from 1 species
AGAACGAACGCUGGCGGCAUGCCUAAUACAUGCAAGUCGAACGAACUCUUCGGAGUUAGUGGCGCACGGGUGCGUAACGCGUGGGAAUCUGCCCCUUGGUUCGGAAUAACAGUUGGAAACGACUGCUAAUACCGGAUGAUGACGAAAGUCCAAAGAUUUAUCGCCAAGGGAUGAGCCCGCGUAGGAUUAGCUAGUUGGUGAGGUAAAGGCUCACCAGGGCAACGAUCCUUAGCUGGUCUGAGAGGAUGAUCAGCCACACUGGGACUGAGACACGGCCCAAACUCCUACGGGAGGCAGCAGUGGGGAAUCUGCGCAAUGGGCGAAAGCCUGACGCAGCCAUGCCGCGUGAAUGAUGAAGGUCUUAGGAUUGUAAAAUUCUUUCACCGGGACGAGUAAUGACGGUACCCGGAGAAGAAGCCCGGCUAACUCGUGCCAGCAGCCGC